UACGGAGGAUGCGAGCGUUAUCCGGAUUUAUUGGGUUUAAAGGGUGCGCAGGCGGAGGUGCAAGUCAGUGGUCAAAUUGCGGGGCUCAACCCCGUCGUGCCGUUGAAACUGAUGUUCUUGAGUGGGCGAGAAGUAUGCGGAAUGCGUGGUGUAGCGGUGAAAUGCAUAGAUAUCACGCAGAACUCCGAUUGCGAAGGCAGCAUACCGGCGCCCAACUGACGCUGAAGCACGAAAGCGUGGGUAUCGAACAGG
rnacentral:rRNA from 1 species